AAGUCGUAACAAGGUAACCGUAGGUGAACCUGCGGUUGGAUCAUUACAAAAUUUGGUGUUUCACCAUAUUCUUGUUUUUAGCUUUAUCUGUGAUUCCUUGGCAGCAGCAGGGAGGGUGGAGGUACGACGGAUGCUCACUCUUUUGUGUGGGUGCUAACUCGUUACCAUCAACCUCUCGCGUUUUGUCUGAACAAUCAAUUGAUCUUUCGAUUGUCUUUGUUCAGGUUUGACAGCGGCCUCGGAGUCUCGGUGAGAACUCUGAUAAAGGGUAAUCAUCGAAGUUAAACAUCUUAACUGCAUAUUAGACCAUUUUUGUUUUUUUUGUGACUGAAUCAAUUCACUUUAUGUGGAAUGAAAAACAACUUUUGACAACGGAUCUCUUGGCUCUC
rnacentral:misc_RNA from 1 species